rnacentral:rRNA from 1 species
AUUGAACGCUGGCGGCAGGCCUAACACAUGCAAGUCGAGCGAGCGGCGGACGGGUGAGUCAUGCCGGGGAAUUGACCAGUCGAGGGGGAUAACAGUUGGAAACGACUGCUAAUACCGCAUAAGAUGGGAUUGCCCAGGUGGGGGUAGCUAGUUGGUGGGGAAAUGGCUCACCAAGGCGACGAUCCCUAGCUGGUCUGAGAGGAUGAUCAGCCACACUGGAACUUAGACCCGGUCCAGACUCCUACGGUAGGCAUCAGUGGUGAAUAUUGCACAAUGGGGGAAACCCUGAUGCAGCCAUGCCGCGUGUGUGAAGAAGGCCUUCGGGUUGUAAAGCACUUUCAGCGAGGAGGCGUUACUCGCAGAAGAAGCACCGGCUAACUCCGUGCCAGCAGCCGCGGUAAUUC